UCCCUCCAGAGCUCCUUCCUCCUUCCUCCUCUCUUCCCCCACCCCUCCCUCCUCCUUCCCUCCUCCUCCUCCUCCUCUUUACUCCCUCCUUCUCCCAGAGGAACCCCGCCCCCUGCCCCCUCCUUUCCCCACCACCUCCACUUUCCAGGGCGAACACGCGCAGGGCACGACGGAAAUCGUAGUCCUGCGGACGCCGGUGAUACCGUAGGAACAAUGGGACGCUGGGGCCAGCGGGGACUACAAACAAGAUGGCGGAGGGCGUGCCAAGCCGGGAGCCGAGGAUGCCGGGAGUUAUAGUCCGGUUGCCCCGAGGCUCCCCGUUGCAGAGGAUAGAGAAGGAGCGGGAACGAUGACUACAAACAAGAUGGCCUUCUCCCCCGACCCGACCUCCUUCCCAGGCACUCACACGCCCUCCUGUCCACAACCCUCCGCGUGUGUGGUACCUGACGGGAGUCGCAGUCCAUCUGCUGCCUUCCCGCUGCCAUUUCUACUCGUCAGGAACAAUGGAAAGGUGAAAAGGAAUGAGGACUACAAACAAGAUGGCGGAAGAGGGGCGUACACCUGACUAGCAGUCGGUCUUAUGAGGCUGGACCUAGUGACUUGCCUGUACAAUGAAUAGAAUCAGCAAAAGUGAUGGGACCAUACUUUCAAGAUAAGGCUACAAAAGACUGUGAUUUCCAUCUUGGCACUCUUCUCUGCUUCUCUGAUAAAACAAGAUGUCUUGUUGUGAACUGCCGCAAGGAGAGGUCCACAUGGCAAGAACUGAGAACAACCUCCCGCUACAAGCAGGGGAAGGACUGAAGCCUUCAGACCAACAACCCUUGAGGAACUGAAUCCUGCCAACACCGCAUAAGUGGACUUGGAAGCAGAUACCUGUGCCCCUUGAGAUGACUGCACCCUGACAAUGUUUGCAGGCUGCUGAGAGCCUCAGCCUCUGGCCCACAGAAAUGGAAAUGGAAAUAAUGAAUGUUAUUUUAAACUACAA